CAAACACCUUUUUAGACAAAUCACACAAUUAGUAAUGUGGUUGUAAGAGGGAUUUCCCCCUCACCACGCGCACGUACAAACGUGAAAAUUAAAAUGCAAAUUAUAAUUACUGUGAAUGAGAGCAGGAAUCACAGAAAUCUAGAUACGGCAAUGAACGCAAGCCAAAGCUUAUCAGCCUUUUUUGAAAAUUUUGGAGGGGGAAGGAAGCAUGAGAUGCGGGCAUUUCAAAUGGAGUAACAACAUAUGACGCUGAAGACGCUAUGCAGCCAUUGAUGGGCACUUCAUCUUUCUUCAGAGGCGGCGCUGGCGCUUGCACUUGCACUUGCAUCUGCCCCCCUAUCUUACCCACUUUUCAAUUUCAUUCGCUGUUGCCCAGUGUACGCGUGAAGCUGCAUACAACCAUUCAUAAACAUAAAGCCGCAAGAGCAUCGCCUACAUACAUUUUCGAGGCUAUUCAAAAUAGGGGUAACUCUAUUUCUGUAGCAAAGAAGAUAGGCAGGAGAAAUAAUAGUGAAGAUUCAAAAUCUGAAGAAGCAGACAGUGUGACAGAUGGAGGAAACGGUCACAGGGGAAAUAUCAGCAUAGAGACAGAACUUGUACUGUCAGAUGGUGAGGGGGAUGCACAGAGAGAUGAAUUUCUUGAGUUAGAUCUACAGGUGGAAGAAAAUGAUGAAGGAAAUAAUAAUAACGUUGCGUUUAACUGGCCACCUUUGGUGUGCUGUUUUGGGGCAGCACAAAGCAAGUUUACUCCCAUUUCAGCCAGAUAUGUGUCUGCAGACCUUCAUUUAUCACCAAAUAGCCUGGAAUGCAAUCCUGCAUAUUUGGUAAGGGCACGAGGUGGACCCCCUUCUAAUGUGGCUAUCAAACUUGCUAGAUUAGGACGUAGAGUAGCAUUUAUGGGUAAAGUUGGAAAUGAUGCAUAUGGUCGUCAAAUGGUGAUCACCUUGAAUAUGAACAAUGUCCAAACUCGUGGUUUACAAGUUGACUCCUCAUCAUCCACUUCAAUUUCCUAUAUGAAACUGAAUCAUCGAGAUAGCAAAGUGGGGAUAACGUGCAUCAAACCAUGUGCUGAGGACUCUCUUCUUAGUUCUGAGAUAAAUGAGGACAUACUGAGAGAGGCUAGGAUGUUUCAUUUCAACUCUAUGUCUCUUCUUACCAAACCCAUGCAAUCAACACUUUUUGCUGCAAUCAAAUUCUCAAAGAAGUGUGGUGGUGAUAUAUUCUUUGAUGUAAAUUUACCUUUACCCCUUUGGAGGCCUCAGGAAGAGACAUGGAAGAUUAUUCAGAAAGCAUGGAAUUAUUCAAAUGUUAUCAUGGUAAGCAAGCAAGAGUUGGAGUUUUUGCUUGACAAGGAUUAUUUCAAGAGAACUAUCAGGAAACAGUACAAAAAAGUGGAACUGCUAGAGUGUGACCCUCAUACUCCGGAGGAACUUUCAUCAUUAUGGCAUGAUGACCUAAAGAUUCUGCUUGUGAAUGAUGGUGCGAAACUACACUACUACACAACAUUAUAUUAUGGUUCGGUACCAGGGAUUGAAGAUCCCUUUUUGACUGGAUUUAGUUAUGACAGAUCUGCUGGCAGUGAUGCUUUUAUUGCAGAGAUAAUGAGUAGAUUGGUCAUCCAACCAGAAAUUUAUAGGAAUCACGUUCAAUUGCAUAAUGUAAUAAGGAAUGCAAGCAUAUUGCAUAGCUAUUCAAUAAGGGAGGAAAAUAUGCAAUGGAGGAGAAGGCUGCAGAAAUUUGGCCUGGAAAGUAGAUAUGCUUUAAUUUUUUGGUGUAAAAUACCAUGUACAUAUAUUCACUCAAUCUCUUCCCCAAUGGACCUCAUGCUAGACCCCUAAGAGAUAUCUGCAGAGCUAGUGCGGGGUUUGGAAUUUUGAAUGAUUAAAUUCAGGUCCAUAGGAAGAGCUUGACAUGGUAGAUUGUUAACACUAAGAAAAAGUACACUAAGAAGGGAACUUUAAAAUCAAAAGCAGAUUCAUCCGGGACUUGCACCUGACCUCAUCUAUUGUGAUACACUAUACCCAGUGAGUUUGAUGGAUAUUUUACUGUAUUUCGACAGAUCAUGUCUCCCCAGAUUUCAAUUUGGGGAUUAGUUCAUUUUAUUAUUAUUAUAUUUUUACCCUAGAUAUUUCUAGAAAACAAAGUAGGGAUAGCUAGUUAGUCAAGAAGGUUGUAGGUUUCCCAGUUGAAAUGAUGUAAUUUUUUGAUUCAUUUUUAGGUUGUCAAGUGUGGGUUGUAGGAGUCUACAACACUUAAAUCUUCUUGUAAAAAAUCAAUGAAUAUAAGGGCUCCAAGUUCUGCCCAUUAAUAAUA